rnacentral:rRNA from 1 species
UACGUAGGGGGCUAGCGUUGUCCGGAAUCAUUGGGCGUAAAGAGCGUGUAGGCGGCUCGGUAAGUCCGCUCUGAAAGCCCGGGGCUCAACCCCGGGAGGCGGGCGGAUACUGUCGAGCUAGAGUCCGGAAGAGGCGAGUGGAAUUCCUGGUGUAGCGGUGAAAUGCGCAGAUAUCAGGAGGAACACCAAUGGCGAAGGCAGCUCGCUGGGACGGUACUGACGCUGAGACGCGAAAGCGUGGGGAGCAAACAGG